ensembl:misc_RNA Metazoa_SRP Metazoan signal recognition particle RNA
GCUGGGCAUGGUGGCUCAUGCCUGUAAUCCCAGCACUUUGGGAGGCCGAGGUGGGUGGAUCACCUGAGGUCAGGAGUUUGAGACCAGCCUGGCCAACAUGGUGAAACCCCGUCUCUA